rnacentral:lncRNA from 1 species
CUCUCUCUUCAGCUACCAAAGCACUUGCAUACUUAGACAGUUCGACAAACUUUACAUGAUAUUCAGCAACAGACAUAGACCCCUGCACCAAUCUUAAAAAUUCAUUUUGUUUUGCAUCACAAUAAAAUGGUGGAUAAUGUCUCAAAGAAAGCUUCCUUGAAAAUGGUACAGGUGAUAAUACUUGGAUCUGGAUACCGACUUCGGAACGAAAUCCACCAAUCAGCAGCUC